rnacentral:miRNA from 15 species
UCUGCAGCACGAAACUGCCUUAA